CAUACUGUUGAUGACAGAUUAGGCUAGUUUAUAGUGGCCUUUGCAUAGACAUCAGACGUCUUGAACAUACGAUGGAGAGAAAGUCACCCUGUAGCCAAGUGUUGAUGUAGGGGGAACCAUCUAGAAUAAAUACGUGAUGACCCCCUGGCACUGGAUCAACAGAGUAACAUCAGUUACUGUUGUGAGCAUUCAGACUGCCUUUAACGGAUACGCUGAAAACGACAUGCGCAAACACAGCAACAUAAUAGUGCUUGUCCGCUAAGAGCACCACCGUGUGUAUUUCCCAAACGCUUUGGGCUUGUACUGUGUGAUUUCCCAAGGCCGAAGUGCUUGUGUAACAUCUGAUUUUAAUUGUUGGCAUUGUUCCGGGGAAAGACCCCCCAUGGCAGUGACCCACACCAUCAUUCAUGCGAAAUAUCCCCGAUGCUGCCGCUGAAAGACACAUUGUGCGUGUGUGUAUUUGUAAAAUCUGUAACUGCACCACUUUUCUUUUCAGAAGAAAUAAAAGUUGAACAUCAGCUUUAUUGCUGUAAUCUAGUGUGGGGCAUUCUCCCGGCACAGGACGUUUUAAAUUAACAUCUCUCAGUGAGGAGGAAUUGCUCUCGCCAUUGUGAGAGGGGAAAGAUAAUCUUCGCUGGUGGCAAAGUGCCCAAACUUAGGCUUCGUGGGAAGUCCACACUCCCUUCCCUGACAUCUGCCAACGACUGCCUUCGACGACACCUUCGCUUCUCCAAAUAGUGAAAACCUGCAAUAUCAGUUAUUUUAAAAAGGCCUGCCCUGGAAUGAAGAAAGUCUCACUAUCUACGGACAUGCACAAUAAAACCCCAGGACUCUUCAAACCGGAUGUGGAGAAGCGUUCGCGUCAGUGCAGGUGUGUGUUCAACGCCUACAUGAUCCACAUGCACAACAGAAGUCCAAAGGGAAGCUUUGUUCUGUGCAGAGGGAAGAGCUGGAGAAGGUGCUUGGAAUGAUUUGUAUUGUUGCCUUUUUUAACAAGCUUGAUUUGGAAUCGAUUCUAAUUGAAGCCAUGAGUCGCUGGUGUUUUAUCCUCAGCUGCUGCUUUUGUGAUGUUCCAGCCAAGUGACAGCUGGAAUGAAUUUUUUCCGGGUUGCCGUGUAGCUUCAGUUCUCUGAGGUUUCUGUUAGAGCAACAAUGUCUUAAGCUCUUUAAAUCCACUCUGACACAUCUCAUCUCAGGUUUUGCUUUUUCAUGAUGAAUGGAAUUAUGAGACAAAUAAACACUUGAGAAAAGGAGCCAAAUAUAGAUCAUCCACUCCUGCUGCACUACAUUUACACAAACUUGGCAGUCGGAUUGAGUUUAACGCUAAUGAUUUUAUCCUAGCGCUGCAAUGAAGAGCGCACUAAUGGACAUUUUGGUAACGCUUUAUAAUACAGUAACAAAUCACUUUUAAAUCAUUUAUAGUUAUCAACUGUAGUUAUACAAAAAGGGAGUUCUGCAUUCAUUGUCACUUUAAUUAGCUCAUAUAAAGAGUUAGAUAUAAUGCUUUAUUUGCAACUUAUUAACUGUAUAUAGUCCUCACUUUAGAU